GUGGUCACUUUGACUGUGUGACCCAACUAGAGGGAUGAACCACUGAAGACAGGGCAAGGGAGGUUGACAACCUGCAGGCAGUGCCAGGAGUGGGGAAAAGGCCUGCAGUAUACCACACAGCAGCAGGAGGUGCUCAAGAGCUUAUAUUUUCCACAGCAGAUGGAGCCCUGCGGUAUGCAAAUCAACUUUCCAGUGAUAGGAUUGCCCUAGUGUCAUUUUGCUCUGCUUUGGCAUCCCUGGUGGCUGGGCUUCCAUCUGCAGCCUGCAUUUAUGAUGAGACUAGGCUGGAAGGCACUUAUGUGGCUACAGUUUCUCCUCAGAAGUAUUUCAGUCAGGCUUAAAGGAACAGUUGUUGGACCAGCACUUUCCCUGCAUCCUUUUCCUUCACUGUGCUCUUGGCAGGGAGCCAUUUUCUUUGGCUGGACCUAAUCAGAAACCAAGACAAAGGGGAAAGGAAGCCCUGCUAUGUUAUGGCAAUUCACUGAGCCAGUUCUAUGGAGAAUGCUGGACAUGAUACUGUGACGUCAUACACAGAGCACAACGGAUUAUGCAGAGAAAUGCAAUUUGAAUGGGGGGAUUUUUUUAAACAAGGUGAAACAACCCUUUAAUUCUUGGAGAAAUAUGACAAUCCAGAAUCCUUAGGAAUUAUAUCUCCAGCAGCAGUAAGCUUUUAUUUAGUAUAACAUAGUGACUAAGUACUAAAUGCACUUUGGCUAUGGGCCCACUCUCUUAUGCCAGUCUAUAUUGGUGUAGCUCUAGUGAAAUUACUCUAGCGUAAUACAAAUGUAACAGACUGGAAAAUCAGGCUCAGUUUAUUCGUUUUAAGGGAAGACCUCGGUCUAAUAUGAAAUACUAUAUGUUAAAAUGUAUUAAUUUUCAUGUUCCUGGGCACCCAUCCUUUUGAAAACACUAUGAGUGUAACCUUAAGUCUUGUGAAGCUCCCAUAGAUUUUUCUUAGGGUCUUAUCUAGCAAGCACUACUGGUUAUAAUGCUUAAUCCCAUGAGUAGUCCUGCUGUAGUCACUUGUGGUAGUAAGCACUACAGGAAGUGGCAUCGUUUAAUAGAGAUAAUUGAUGUAUGGAUCAUUUUGAUAGGUUGCUGGGAUUUUCUUGUGUUAGAACCUUAUUUGUGAAAGUUGAUGAUAUAGCUGAUAAGGAGGUAUAGUCUGUUCGUGAUGAGCAGAAUGACAUAUAAUGUAUUAGAUCUGAUGGGAGUGCUGUGUUAGUCUCCUGUCGUGAGCGGGGACUAUAUCCCUAAACAUGGGACAUCAUCAUAUUGUUCUAUUUUCUUAUAUUUCCUAUUCUAAUCUUCUCCAGAUGAGUGGAAUUGUAUCCCUUUUUGCUUGACAGCGAAAGACAAACACCAAGCUGUCCAGAAGACAGAGUGCCAUUUUAUUCCUCUGUCGAAAUUCCUGAUGAGAUGGGCAAAACAUCAGGAAACACUCAAGAGAAGACCUCCUUAACCUUCCAAUUAUUCUUGUUGGCAUCUUUAGAUAGAUAAGGAAGAGGACAUGACUGACUCUGACGUAGUGCCAGACAUGCCUUUGGCAUAUGAUGAGCAGUGUGUCUGGUGUUGUAAAUUACUCCUGCAACUACUGAAGUCAGUGGCAGAACUCCCAUUGAGUCCAAUCAUAUCGGAUCAGAUCCUUGUUGGAUAGUUAUCUGGGAGGUGGAUCAGAAACAGAAUUGGAGCUAUUUUGUCUGGACCUAAUUAAACAACCUUCAUUACUGGCAGAAACUGAUGUUGUGACAGUCAAUGGAUUUGCAAGACAAAGGCACCCACGGCACCCAGCAGAGCAGGAAGGCAGACACCCUUCCGGAAGAAGAAGCUGCCGGGCAGGAACUCAACAGCUGGAGAAAAUAGACUUGGGACUGGCUUGUUGAUCUGUCAGAGUGAGACAAUGGACCAUCCUCACCUAAGUGUGACACAGUCUCAGGAGCCAUAGACUGUUCUGAGGCAGGUCUCCUUUAAGCCACCCAGUUUGAAAAGACUUCUGCAGCCAGUGAACGCUUCUUUGCCAACAUAUGUGUACAAUGAGUUCAGUCCCAGUUACUCAAGAAUUGGAGCUGUGAACGCUGCUGGAUUUUAAUUUAAUUGUAGGUAUGUGAACCUUGUAUACAACAGCACUUUUUGUUUACCUGACUUUACUUAACAAAAAUACGAAUUGCAUACCACAGUAUAGUUUCUUCCCUGGUUUUAUAGUCUUUGCCUUCUGUCCCUCCCCUUUAUCUCCUGUCUCCUUCACUUCCUCCUUACUUCUAUAUUUUCCUCCAAUGCUUUCUCCCUUUCCUUUCAUUCUUCUCUCCUUAUAUCUGUUUUUCUCAUUGGUCCACUGCCUUCUACUUUUGCCCCAACCUGCUCAUUCUCUUGGGGUUUCCCCAUACCCCUGAACUCCUCAGCUCUAUCAGUGAAACCAGAUAAAAUCCAAUACAGUCCCAUGAGAUCCAGGUCAGUUGAGGGGAAUGAUUCAAAUUAAAUGCUGUCAUUCAGGGUGGAGAAAGCUCCUAAUGUACGUGCACCACACCUUUACCAAUGGGUUAUGUAUGCUUUUCUAAGUGCCAUUGUUUUCUGAUUUUUUAAAUAUUCUUUUAGAUUAGUGAGAGUAAAUGAAGAGUUCACCCUCAUACUCUUUUUAUGAAAACUGAUGGGUUUGGAAAUAAAGCAGAAUGUUGCCCUAUGUUGUCUUCGGUACCCUACAGGAUAAGAGCUCUGUUGUUUGACAAAAUGGAGAAUAGUUUGGGCGUCUCUCCUCUUUAUAGAACUUUUUCCCUUUUCCGCUCCUUCCUACUUUCUAUGACACCCACUGUUGUAUCUUGUCUUAAUUAUGACCAUAAGCUCUUCAAGGCAAGAACUGCCCAUUUACAUUGUGUGUGUGUGUGUGUAGGCUGGGAUUCUGAUUGGUGCUACAGUAAUCAAAAUUAAUAACAGUAAUAAUUUAAUGAGACUGCAUCUUAAAUGAGGUUAACUUACAACGCUGGUGGG